rnacentral:rRNA from 1 species
GGGAAACUGGGGCUGAUCCACGAUAGAUGACCUCAUCUGGAAGGAGAGGUCGUCCAAAAGGAUGCGCGAGUAUGCUUCGCGCCUUCCGCUCCAGGAUGGGACUGCGGCCGAUCAGGCUGUUGGUGGGGUAAUGGCCCACCAAACCUGUAACCGGUACGGGCUUUGAGAGAAGGAGCCCGGAGAUGGACACUGAGACAAGGGUCCAGGCCCUACGGGGCGCAUCAGGCGCGAAAACUUCGCAAUGCGCGAAAGCGUGACGAGGCUAGUCCGAGUGCCUUCCGCUGAGGAGGGCUUUUCUCGGCUGUAAAUAGGCCGGGGAAUAAGGGGAGGGCAAGUCUGGUGUCAGCCGCCGCGGUAAUACCAGCUCCUGGAGUGGUCGGGACGAUUAUUGGGCCUAAAGCACCCGUAGCCGGUUCAGUAAGUCCUCUGUCAAAUCCAACCGCUCAACGGUUGGCCCGCAGAGGAUACUGCUGGACUAGGAGGCGGGAGAGGCGGACGGUACUCCGCGUGUAGGGGUAAAAUCCUUUGAUCCGCGGAAGACCACCAGUGGCGAAGGCGGUCCGCCAGAACGCGCUCGACGGUGAGGGGUGAAAGCUGGGGGAGCGAACCGGAUUAGAUACCCGGGUAGUCCCAGCCGUAAACGAUGCGAGCUAGAUGAUUCGAUCGCAGUUCGCGAUCGAAGUGUCGCAGGGAAGCCGUUAAGCUCGCCGCCUGGGGAGUACGGUCGCAAGGCUGAAACUUAAAGGAAUUGGCGGGGGAGCA